UACGUAGGGGGCGAGCGUUGUCCGGAAUUAUUGGGCGUAAAGAGCGUGUAGGCGGUUCGGUAAGUCUGCCGUGAAAACCUGGGGCUCAACCCCGGGCGUGCGGUGGAUACUGCCGGGCUAGAGGGUGGUAGAGGCGAGUGGAAUUCCUGGUGUAGCGGUGAAAUGCGCAGAUAUCAGGAGGAACACCCGUGGCGAAAGCGGCUCUCUGGGACGGUACUGACGCUGAGACGCGAAAGCGUGGGGAGCAAACAGG
rnacentral:rRNA from 1 species